rnacentral:rRNA from 1 species
CAAAGGUGAGCCAGUACAGGAUGGACCCGCGUCUGAUUAGCUAGUUGGUAAGGUAACGGCUUACCAAGGCGACGAUCAGUAGCCGACCUGAGAGGGUGAUCGGCCACAUUGGAACUGAGACACGGUCCAAACUCCUACGGGAGGCAGCAGUGGGGAAUAUUGCACAAUGGGCGAGAGCCUGAUGCAGCAACGCCGCGUGAGUGAUGAAGGCCUUCGGGUCGUAAAACUCUGUCCUCAAGGAAGAUAAUGACGGUACUUGAGGAGGAAGCCCCGGCUAACUACGCGCCAGCAGCCGCGGUAAUACGUAGGGGGCUAGCGUUAUCCGGAUUUACUGGGCGUAAAGGGUGCGUAGGCGGUCUUUCAAGUCAGGAGUGAAAGGCUACGGCUCAACCGUAGUAAGCUCUUGAAACUGGGAGACUUGAGUGCAGGAGAGGAGAGUGGAAUUCCUAGUGUAGCGGUGAAAUGCGUAGAUAUUAGGAGGAACACCAGUUGCGAAGGCGGCUCUCUGGACUGUAACUGACGCUGAGGCACGAAAGCGUGGGGAGCAAACAGGAUUAGAUACCCUGGUAGUCCACGCUGUA